AGAGUGAACGCUGGCGGCAGGCCUAACACAUGCAAGUCGAACGGCAGCACAGAGGAGCUUGCUCCUUGGGUGGCGAGUGGCGGACGGGUGAGGAAUACGUCGGAAUCUACCUAUUUGUGGGGGAUAACGUAGGGAAACUUACGCUAAUACCGCAUACGACCUACGGGUGAAAGCGGAGGACCUUCGGGCUUCGCGCGGAUAGAUGAGCCGACGUCGGAUUAGCUAGUGGCGGGUAAAGCCCACCAAGGCGACGAUCCGUAGCUGGUCUGAGAGGAUGAUCAGCCACACUGGAACUGAGACACGGUCCAGACUCCUACGGGAGCAGCAGGUGGGAAUAUUGGACAAUGGGACGCAAAGCCUGAUCCAGCCAUGCCGCUGUGUGAAGAAGGCUUCGGUUAGUAAGCUACGUUUUGUAACCGGAAAGAAAAGACACGUAGGUUAAUACCCGUGGUGUCAGUGACGUACGGAAGAAUAGCACGAUAACUCG
rnacentral:rRNA from 1 species